rnacentral:pre_miRNA from 11 species
CUCCUGUAGCACUAAAGUGCUUAUAGUGCAGGUAGUGUUUCAUAAUCUACUGCAUUAGGAGCACUUAAAGUACUACUAGCU